AUCUCUGGAUCCUCUGCAUUUGCUCGAGAAAAAAUUUUUCGCCUUUUACUAAAGAUUUCUGUGCAGAGGAUCAAACUAUGAGUAAUACUCAUUUUUUGGAAUCCCCUCGAAAGAGCGGGAU
rnacentral:snRNA from 1 species